rnacentral:rRNA from 1 species
AUUGAACGCUGGCGGCAGGCCUAACACAUGCAAGUCGAACGGUAACAGGAAGCAGCUUGCUGCUUUGCUGACGAGUGGCGGACGGGUGAGUAAUGUCUGUGAAACUGACUGAUGGAGGGGGAUAACUACUGGAAACGGUAGCUAAUACCGCAUAACGUCGCAAGACCAAAGAGGGGGACCUUCGGGCCUCUUGCCAUCGGAUGUGCCCAGAUGGGAUUAGCUAGUAGGUGGGGUAAAGGCUCACCUAGGCGACGAUCCGUAACUGGUCUGAGAGGAUGACCAGCCACACUGGAACUGAGACACGGUCCAGACUCCUACGGGAGGCAGCAGUGGGGAAUAUUGCACAAUGGGCGCAAGCCUGAUGCAGCCAUGCCGCGUGUAUGAAGAAGGCCUUCGGGUUGUAAAGUACUUUCAGCGGGGAGGAAGGGAGUAAAGUUAAUACCUUUGCUCAUUGACGUUACCCGCAGAAGAAGCACCGGCUAACUCCGUG